GGGGUGUCGUAUCGGAUUAUUGGGCGUAAGAGCUCGUAGGCGGCUUGUCACGUCGGGUGUGAAAGCCCGGGGCUUAACCCCGGGUCUGCAUUCGAUACGGGCUGGCUAGAGUGUGGUAGGGGAGAUCGGAAUUCCUGGUGUAGCGGUGAAAUGCGCAGAUAUCAGGAGGAACACCGGUGGCGAAGGCGGAUCUCUGGGCCAUUACUGACGCUGAGGAGCGAAAGCGUGGGGAGCGAACAGGAUUAGUACCCUGGUAA
rnacentral:rRNA from 1 species